rnacentral:rRNA from 1 species
CCUACGGGUGGCAGCAGUGGGGAAUAUUGCACAAUGGGGGAAACCCUGAUGCAGCGACGCCGCGUGAGUGAAGAAGUAUUUCGGUAUGUAAAGCUCUAUCAGCAGGGAAGAAAAGGACGGUACCUGAGUAAGAAGACCCGGCUAACGACGUGCCAGCAGCCGCGGUAAUACGUAGGGGGCAAGCGUGAUCCGGAUUUACUGGGUGUAAAGGGAGCGUAGACGGCAGCACAAGUCUGGAGUUAAAUGCCGGGGCUGAACCCCGGAACUGCUUUGGAAACGGUGCAGCUAGAGUGCAGGAGCGGUCAGUGGACUUCCUCUUGUCGCGUUGACAUGCGUCUAUAUUAGUAGGAACCCCAGUGGCGCAGGCGGCUUACUGGACUGUACCUGCCGUUGCGGCUCGAACGCGUGGGGAGCACACCGGAUUAGAUACCCUAGUAGUC